rnacentral:lncRNA from 1 species
GGCAUUGGUGCAGAUGAGGUCCUUCAGCCUGAAGCUGCUGUGCAUUGGGUAGGAAUAGCAAGGCUUCAAGGCUUUUCUGGUGGGUCCCUGCUCAGGGAGAAGCAGUUUCCUACCUCUUUGUCUGUGUCCAGGUCUACAAAGAUCUACACUCCAGGACGGAAAGAACAGGGGGAACCCAUGACACCUCGCCGCACACCAGCCCGCUUUGGACUGUGAGCUGGGGCUCUCCCAGGAGAAGAUGGCAGCCAGGCGCUAAGUCCUUGGCUCUCCAGCCUGGGUUCCCUGAGGACUUGGACAAAGGCUUUCAUCUGCGUGUUCAUCUCUGGGUCAUUGAGGUGGUUCCUGCUGAGUCAGGCUCUGCCCCAGGAGGAGGCUGUCCUAAUGCUGGGCUUGGCAGGAGCCUGGCGCAAGGCCAAUAAGGAGCUGCCUGAGCAGCAGGAGGUGGCUGGGCCAUCUUAUCCACUCUACCUGUCCCUAGGACGCUUGGCAGACAAGUGCCUCGCUGUGACUGAAACUUUUUUAAUCCUUGUGUAAAGAGGCAGAGAAACGUGUAAUUUGGUCAUCACAUGGGAUUUGGAAAUAAAUAUAUUAUUUGUACAAUG